rnacentral:lncRNA from 1 species
CAUGGAAAUGCUUAAUCAUACUGAAUGAAUACUUCUGAGGCUCACAAAGGAAAAUAUGUAUGAGCAUGUCUUAAAUUCAUUUGUUUAUGAAGAUGACAAUUAUAAUGGUAAAAUUGAGAAUUGAUACGGGAAAUAAGGCAAAGUGACAACAACAUGAACAACCCGACCAGAGAGAAGAAAAUAGAAAUAUGCCAACAUGAGUUGUCAAUACAACGAGAA